rnacentral:tRNA from 2 species
GUCUCUGUGCUGCAAUCGGUUAGCGCGUUCGGCUGUUAACUGAAAGGUUGGUGGUUCAAGCCCACCCAGGGACG